GCGCGUGGCCACGGCGGCUGGUGUGGGGUUGAGUCAGUUGUGAGACCCGGAGCUGCUGACCCAGCGGGUGGCCCACCGUACCCGCGACACGGCGGCAGGCGGCAGGGCUCGGAAGCGGCGAGCCUGGCCCCGUCCUAGAGCUUGGCCGAGCGGGCACCACCGUCGUUCCCCGCCCCCAGCCAGCAGACUGUCGCCGAGGGCGCGCCCUCGCUCUGCUCCGAUGGCGUCCGCCUCCGCGAAGCACUAGCAGAUCUCGGUCCUCGACCCGCCCACUGACCUCAAAUUCAAAGGCCCCUUCACAGAUGUAGUCACUACAAAUCUUAAAUUGCGAAAUCCAUAGGAUAGAAAAGUGUGUUUCAAAGUGAAGACUACAGCACUACGCCGGUACUGUGAGACCCAACAGUGGAAUUAUUGACCCAGGGUCAAUAGCCCUUUGACUAUGAUCCAAAUGAAAAAAGUAAACCCAAGUUUAUGGUACAGACCAUUUUUGCUCCACCAAACACUUCAGAUAUGGAAGCUGUGUGGAAAGAGGCAAAACCUGAUGAAUUAAUGGAUUCCAAAUUGAGAUGUGUAUUUGAAAUGCCGAAUGAAAAUGAUAAAUUGAAUGACAUGAAACCUAGCAAAGCUGUUCCACUGAAUGCGUCUAAAUAAGAUGGACCUAUGCCAAAACCACAGUGUUUCACUUAAUGAUGCUGAAACAAGGAAACUAAUGGAAGAGUGUAAAAGACUUCAGGGAGAAAUGAUGAAGCUAGCAGAAGAAAAUCGACACCUGAGAGAUGAAGGUUUAAGGCUCGGAAAGGUAGCACAUUCGGAUAAACCUGGAUCAACCUCAACAUCCUUCAGAGAUAAUGUCACCAGUCCUCUUCCAUCACUUCUUGUUGUAAUUGCAGCCAUUUUCAUUGGAUUCUUUCUAGGGAAAUUCAUCUUGUAGAGUGAAGCAUGCAGAGUGCUAUUUCUUUUUUUUUUUUUUUUUCUCUUGACCAGAAAAAGAUUUGUUUACUUACCAUUUCAUUGGUAGUAUGGCCCGCGGUGACCAUUUUUUUGUGUACAGCAUCAUAUAGGCUUUGCCGUUAAUGAUCUCUUACGGUUAGAAAACACAAUAAAAACGAACUGUUGGGCUACUGGACAAAUUGUAUAUUACCAGAUCAUCACUAGCAGAUGUCACUUGCACAUUCAGUCCUUUAUGAAAUUCAUAAAGAAUUGUUCUUUCUUUGUGGUUUUAAUGAGUUCAAGAAUUGUUCAGUCUUGUAAAUGUUAUUUUAAUAAUACCUUUAAAUUUUAUCUGUUGCUGUUACCUCUUGAAAUAUGAUUUAUUUAGAUUGCUAAUCCCACUCAUUCAGGAAAUGCCAAGAGGUAUUCCGUGGGGAAACGGUGCCUCUUACAGUGUAAAUUUUUUCCUCCUUUACCUUUGCUAAUAUCACGGCAGAAUUUUUCUUACCCCUUGUGAGGCAGUUGUUGACUGAGUUUUUCAUCCUUACAAUCCUGUUCCAUGGUAUUUAACAUAAAAAAUAAUAAAACUGUUAACAGAUUCUUGCUUGAUA